rnacentral:rRNA from 1 species
UGCAGAAUCCCGUGAACCAUCGAGUCUUUGAACGCAAGUUGCGCCCGAUGCCAUUAGGUUGAGGGCACGUCUGCCUGGGCGUCACAUAUCGAAGCCUCUUGCCAAUUUCCUUUUGAUAGGUAUUGUGCGUGGGGAAUGUUGGCCUCCCGUGAGCUCCAUUGUCUCAUGGUUGGUUGAAAAUCGAGACCUUGGUAGGGUGUGCCAUGAUAGAUGGUGGCUGUGUUACGCACGAGACCAAAUCAUGUGCUGCUCUAUUGAAUUUAGCUUCUUUUACCCACAUGCGUUUCUAAACGCUCGUGAUGAGACCUCAGGUCAGGCGGGGCUACCCGCUGAAUUUAAGCAUAUCAAUAAGCGGAGGAAAAGAAACUAACAAGGAUUCCCUUAGUAACGGCGAGCGAACCGGGAUAAGCCCACCAUGAGAAUCGGUCGCCCUCGGCGUUCGA